UGAAGAAUUUAGUGAAGAACGAUUGAAUGUGGAAUCACCUGCUAAUUUCCUUACUAAGGCGUGAUAUGUGCAAAAUUCAAAGAACAAGGUGAUGAUGGUCCCACUAUAUAUAUGGCCUCCCAGGUUUCCUUUUUGGAUCAAUUACUAGGUGGCAUAUGUAUUAAUAUUGUAAGAAUUAAUAAACAUUUUACCACUACUUUUUGUACCUGAUACAGAAUUAUGUAUUUUGUUAAUUAGGUCAUAUUUCUUUUGGAAAAUGAAUAUGUCAGUUAAGA
rnacentral:lncRNA from 1 species